AUGGCGCAUAGCCUGGCCGAAUUUCAGGUCCCCUCGGACGCUGAAGCCGCUGGGGACCGCGGGAGAGGCGCUCUGAGGCGCUGCAGGGGACGGCCCCGGCUCACGGACACUGACCGAGCUCAGCGGCGUCUCGAGUCCCGGAAAAAGUACGACAUUAGGCGGGUGUACCUGGGAGAGGCGCACAAGCUGUGGAGUGAUCUGCGGCGGCGCACAAGUCUGAGCGAUGCCGGACUGGCGGAGUAUUUAAUCCUGCUUCACGCCACUUGUGGGGAUAAAUACCUGCAGAAACACUCGGGGAACAACACUGGCUCUGUGGAGUCUGUAAAUCAGAGAAAAAUUAAGAAGGAGCGAGAAUCAAGCCUCCAUAGCCUCGUGUGUUGGUACCAGAAGCACCUGCGUUCCUGCCCCCACGAGCCCCAGCUCAGAGCUCUGGAGCUCCAGCCCAACUUCUCCACGGCUGCCAUCUGGCAAUGCGAUGGCGACCAUUCGUUCGUGCAACAGCUUUUCUCGCCGCUGAGGGAGGCAAGUGACUCUGAGCGGGAGGAGAGACAGCAUGGAGACGACUGUGAAAGUGCUGCAAAAUCGGUGCCAAAGAGAUUAGCCGGCCGCAGGAGAAAAACUAACACUCCGCCAAAAGGUUUAGAAGAAUCUUUGAUAGUUUCUGAGGUUGGAGACAUAGCCACAAAAGCCUUAACACAUUCUGCCAGUGUGGAGAGCGCCGCCAAUGACCUCCCCCUGACAGAACCGCAGGUGUGGGAGAUGGAGAUGGUGCUGGAGCGACCACAAGGCUCCCCUGAGGCAAUGUUCCACUCCCUCACGUCAGAAGAGGAGGCUGACGAUGUGAGUCAAGACCAGGAUGAAGGAGCGACGGAGCCACUCGGAGAGGACGAGCACACCGGGUGCGGUUACGAGCGCGUCGCCAUGGUAACGUCCUUUGCGGACAAACCGAGGAAAGCGGACGAGCGCCCGGGGGAAUCGGUGCAAACGUCACCCCAGCCGGAGCUUUUGGCCCAGCCUCCCGCACAGGCAGAAGAGGACGGCGGGGAACUUUAUGAUCCUCACGCUCUGCAGGCGGUGGUGACGAGUUGUGACAUUCCCAACCAUCAGACGGCUCUCGAAGGCUCCCAGCUAAUCAUCAUAACUGGCCCCAGCUAUGAGGCUCUUGCGUCAGAGGGCAUCCAGCUCAACAUGGGUGCCGGGAACGUGGAGGAAGUCACCUGCACUGUCCUCGACGGCGUCGGCUACGACCAAGCGUGUGACUCUGCAUCAAAAAUGCCAGCGGCGGGAGACGACGGCUCAAUGGCAGGAUUGAGUGACAAGCAGCUGCUGGAGCCUAACGUUGACACUUUGGAGCUAAGUAGUGACCGUGAGCUACAGCGCAGUCUCAGCAGGUCAAAGAGAAACCGGCGAGGCCCGGUCAUCGAGGCUGAUGGGAUGCUGAAGAUGUUCCAUUGUCCAUACGAGGGGUGCAGUCAAGUUUAUGUAGCCAUAAGCAGCUUCCAGAAUCAUGUCAACCUCGUUCACAGGAAAGGCAGGACCAAAGUUUGUCCACAUCCAGGCUGUGGAAAGAAAUUCUACCUGUCCAACCACCUGCACCGCCACAUGAUCAUCCACUCAGGGGUCCGAGAUUUCAUAUGCGAGACAUGUGGGAAAUCGUUCAAGCGUAAGAACCACUUGGAAGUUCACAGGCGGACUCAUACAGGAGAAACCCCUCUACAAUGCGAAAUCUGCGGCUAUCAGUGUCGCCAGCGUGCGUCCCUAAACUGGCACAUGAAGAAACACACGCCAGAAGCCCACUACAACUACACGUGCGAGUUCUGCGACAAGCGCUUCGAGAAGCUGGACAGUGUCAAAUUCCACAAGCUGAAGAGCCACCCGGAAAAACUGUCCUCCUGAGGGCCCUCGGACUAUGGCCGAGAAGGAGCCGGGGACACCAGAGGAAGACUGUUGCACGGCUGUGCAGGACACAGCCGGGUCCCGUUCUCAAGGCCUGAACGGGAAUGAUGGUGAAGAAUAAUCAUUAAUCCUCAUGAAAAAAAGUGCAACAAAGGACGUUCUUUUUAUGUCUUUCUUGGUAUCUCCGGGUAUAAGUUGGAUGUCAAAGUGGACCGUCUUUCUUGGUUUAUACCCACAACCUUCUACUAUCAGGUAAGAGGCAUAUUUAUAAUCUAGAAUUAACUUUUACCAACUCCGAGGCGAUGCAGCGGCUUAAUAUGUCAAUACAGCAGCAUAAGCUAGUUAGCACCGCUAAAAAUAGUUUGUCUGCGUCAGCGCGUGUAAUAACAAUAUCGCUAAGACUUGGUUAAUAUUCAGGUCACGAGAUGAAAAUAGAGUAUUGUUGACAGUUUUUACAUAUUUUUUUAUUUUUAUGGAACGUAAUAGUGUACUCAUAUUAGCUGCUUUGUUAGCCACCUUGCACUUGCCGUAUUUUACGACUUAUAACGCAGAAGCAUUGUGAGUGAUAGGCAAAAGUCCCCAACAAGUGCAGUUCCCCUUUAAAUAAAUAACUGCACUUUUUGGGGGGAGUUUUGUGAGACAAAAACACACAUCAUUUCCUUUUCUGUGUAUUCUAAAUAGUAAAAAACUGCUUGUAAGAGGCGGCAAACAAUCAAAUAAAAUCAAAUCAACUUUAUUUAUAAAGCACAUUUAAAAUUUACCACAGGGGUAGCCAAAGUGCUGUACAAUGAACAGGUUAAAAGAUAAAACGAGUACCGAGCAAACACAACACAAUCAGAACACGAUAAAAAAUAUAUAAUUAAAAUAGAAUUAAUAAAAACAUAAAAACAUAAAAACAGGAUCACAGCAGGUGUAUUAUGGGGCGCCAUUGCAAUGCACAAUGCAAUGCAAGUAAUGGGAAGUAAUGGGAAUACAAUAUAUUCUGCCAAUGUAAAAAACAUUAAAAAAAUGUCCAACCCUGUUUUAUGUAAUGUAGUAGCAGGCACAUUCAUAAUAACAUUUAAUAUUUACAGUAUUUUGCUCAUUUUUAGCAUCAUAGCUAUUUUUUUCAUGGGUGCAAAAUGUAAUGUACCGUAUUUUUCGGAUUAUUAAUCGCUCCGGAGUAUAAAUCGCACCGGCCGAAAAUGCAUAAUGAAGAAGGAAAAAAACAUAAGUCGCAUUAGAGUAUAAGUCGCAUUUUUGGGGGAAAUUUAUUUGAUAAAAGCCAACACCAAGAAUAGACAUUUGAAAGGCAAUUUAAAAUAAAUAAAGAAUAGUGAACAACAGGCUGAAUAAGUGUACGUUAUAUGAGGCAUAAAUAACCAACUGAGAACGUGCCUGGUAUGUUAACGUAACAUAUUAUGGUAAGAGUCAUUCAAAUAACUAUAACAUAUAGAACAUGCUAUACGUUUACCAAACAAUCUGUCACUCCUAAUCGCUAAAUCCCAUGAAAUCUUAUACGUCUAGUCUCUUACGUGAAUGAGCUAAAUAAUAUUAUUUGAUAUUUUACGCUAAUGUGUUAAUAAUUUCACACAUAAGUCGCUCCUGAGUAUAAGUCGCACCCCCCCAAGCUAUGAAAAAAACUUCGACUUAUAGUCCGAAAAAUACGGUAAUGGGAAUACAAUCUACUCUGCCAAUCUAAAAAACAUUAAAAAAAUGUCCAACACUGUUUUAUAUACAGUACAUGCUGUGAGUAUGUAUGUAAUGUAGUAGCAGGCACAUUCAUAAUAACAUUUAAUAUUUACAGUAUUUUGCUCAUUUUUAGCAUCACAGCUAUUUUUUUCAUGGGCGCAAAAUGUAAUGUAAACAACAUGGAGAUGGGCACCGAAUCCGGUACCUUUUUGGCACAGAUCAAAUCCCCACCAAUCCGACCGGGCAUCGAUUCACGUAAAAUCCAAACGGUGCAUGGUUGCACGUGACGUCACACUUGGUUGCCACCUCUUCGCAGUUCGACACAGCAGCACUGAGAGCAGACUCAGCCAAACUACCUCUUGGCAAUGUUGCAAAUUCCAAUGCCUACAAAGCAAUUGACUCAACAAAAAAAAACGCUCCAAGUAAAUAAAGUAAGGCACCACUUUUCCAAAAAUUGAUGCUAAUAUACAUUGGCUUUGCUAUUGACAUGCGAGCAUUAGCGAUUUUAGAUGCCGAUUUCAGCACCUUUAAAAUUUUACUAAAAACUAAAAACUAAGAUGCUCGUUAUAAUCAAACAGCUAGUGCAUAAUAAAUGCAAUACUUACAGUAUUAAAGUUAAAGUACCAAUGAUUGUCACACACACACUAGGUGUGGUGAAAUUUGUCCUCUGCAUUUGACCCACCCCCUUGUUCACCCCCUGGGAGGUGAGGGGAGCAGUGAGUGAUUUAACCCCCAUUCAAACCUUUGAUGCAGAGUGAUGGCUCUCAUUUUUAUAGUCUUUGGUAUGACUCACAACUAGGGAUGUCCGAUAAUAUCGGGCUGCCGAUAUUAUCAGCCGAUAAAUGCUUUAAAAUGUAAUAUCGGAAAUUAUCGGUAUCGGUUUCUAAAAGUAAAAUGUACAACGUUUUAAAACGCCGCUGUGUACACGGACGUAGGGAGAGGUACAGAGUGCCAAUAAUCCUUAAAGGCAUUUCAUUUGCGUGCGUGCCGUCUGAGUCACAUAAUAUCUACCGGCUGUUCUCAUCACGAAUUAAUGCAAGGCAUACUUGGUCAACAGCCAUACAGGUCACACUGAGGGUGGCCGUAUAAACAACUUUAACACUGUUACCAAAUAUGCGCCACACUGUGAACCCACACCAAACAAGAAUGACAAACACAUUUCGGGAGAACAUCCGCACCGUACUGGAAAUGUGUCCGACUUACUGCCGGACAGGUUUCCAGUGAGGGUUGGACUCCGCCAAGGCUGCCCUUUCAUAACUUUUAUGGACAGAAUUUCUAGGCGCAGUCAAGGCGUUGAGGGGAUCCGGUUUGGUGGCUGCAGGAUUAGGUCUCUGCUUUUUGCAGAUGAUGUGGUCCUGAUGGCUUCAUCUGGCCAGGAUCUUCAGCUCUCACUGGAUCGGUUCGCAGCCGAGUGUGAAGCGACUGGGAUGAGAAUCAGCACCUCCAAGUCCGAGUCCAUGGUUCUCGCCCGGAAAAGGGUGGAGUGCCAUCUCCGGGUUGGGGAGGAGAUCUUGCCCCAAGUGGAGGAGUUCAAGUACCUCAGAGUCUUGUUCACGAGUGAGGGAAGAGUGGAUCGUGAGAUCGACAGGCGGAUCGGUGCGGCAUCUUCAGUAAUGCGGACGCUGUAUCGAUCCGUUGUGGUGAAGAAGGAGCUGAGCCGGAAGGCAAAGCUCUCAAUUUACUGGUCGAUCUACGUUCCCAUCCUCACCUAUGGUCAUGAGCUUUGGGUUAUGACCGAAAGGACAAGAUCACGGGUACAAGCGGCCGAAAUGAGUUUCCUCCGCGGGGUGGCGGGGCUCUCCCUUAGAGAUAGGGUGAGAAGCUCUGCCAUCCGGGAGAAACUCAAAGUAAAGCCGCUGCUCCUCCACAUCGAGAGGAGCCAGAUGAGGUGGUUCGGGGAUCUGGUCAGGAUGCCACCCGAACGCCUCCCGAGGGAUGUGUUUAGGGCACGUCUGACCGGUAGGAGGCCACGGGGAAGACCCAGGACACUUUGGGAAGACUAUGUCUCCCGGCUGGCCUGGGAACGCCUCGGGAUCCCCCGGGAAGAGCUGGACGAAGUGGCUGGGGAGAGGGAAGUCUGGGCUUCCCUGCUUAGGCUGCUGCCCCCGCGACCCGACCUCGGAUAAGCGGAAGAAGAUGAAUGGAUGGAUGGGAUGGAUCCGCACCAUAACACAACAUAAACACAACAGAACAAAUACCCAGAAUCCCUUGCAGUACUAACUCUUCCGGGACACUACAAUAUAAACCACCCCAACCCACCUCAACCUCCUCAUAGUCUCUCUCAGGGAGAGCAUGUCCCAAAUUCCAAGCUGCUGUUUGGAUAGAUAGAUAGAUAGUACUUUAUUGAUUCCUUCAGGAGAGUUCCCUCAGGAAAAUUAAAAUUCCAGCAGCAGUGUACAGAAUUGAGAUCGAAUUUAAAAAGUAAAAAGUAAAUAAUGGGGGUAUAAAUGGAAACAGAAUAGAAAAAUAUUACAAUAAGAAUCAAAAUAAAAAGCAACAAUGAGAAUAAAAAUAUAACAGUAAAAUAAGAAUAUAACAAGAGAAACUAGGCGGUAGUGACCAUGCUAUGAAAAAGUAUUGCACUGUUACUGUUUUGAGGCA